GGUCUUCCCAACAACAAGACCUCACUGUCUCUGCCCUCAGCAUACUGAUGGUGAGAAUGUAGAGUGUCCAUCUGGUUUCCUGAGUACAGAGGAUACAGCAAAAUGCUGGUUGUGAAAUGUCACUGACUGGAAUUGCCAUCAGAUUGCCAAAUGUCCCGAUUCACACAUUGUCCCAGCAUCUUGGCAGCAGCACUGGGAAGCUGUGCUGGCGAAUCCAGCUCCCCUGGUC
rnacentral:lncRNA from 12 species